CUGCCCCUGGCCAGGCAAGGGACACUUGGUAGAUCUGCUGCCCCCAAAGCCCCUUUGCUGGGUACAGAAGUGGCAAACGGGGUUCACGAUGCUCCAGACUUGUCGUGUGCUCUGUUCCCAAGCCAGAUCCUCUGCUGGUGGUUGGAAGCCCCUGAGCUUUGAUGGUGGUGCCUUUCAUCUCAAGGGCACAGGAGAACUGACACGGGCUUUGCUGGUGCUACGGCUGUGUGCCUGGCCCCCUUUGGUCACACAUGGCCUGGCGCUCCAGGCCUGGUCUCAGCGACUCCUGGGCUCCCGGCUCUCAGGUGCGCUUCUCCGAGCAUCUGUCUAUGGGCAGUUUGUGGCUGGUGAGACGGCAGAGGAGGUGAGGGGCUGUGUCCAACAGCUCCAGACCCUAGGCCUCCAGCCCUUGCUGGCAGUGCCUACUGAGGAGGAGCCAGACUCGGCUGUCAGGACUGGUGAGGCCUGGUAUGAGGGGAACCUCAGCGCUAUGCUGCAGUGUGUGAACUUGUCACGAAGCCUCACGGAGACCCCCGUCCCGACUGGGAACAUUCUCAUGCAGCUGAAGGUGACAGCGUUGGUCAGCACCUGGCUCUGUAAGGAGCUAACCUCAUGGGUCAGAAGGCCAGAGGCUCCCUUGGAGCUGAGCCCUGAGAGACUGGCAGAAGCCAUGGACUCAGGGCAGGACCUCCAGGUCUCCUGCCUCAGUGCUGAGCAAAACCGGCAUCUCCAGGCCUCUCUGAGCCGCUUGCACCAGGUGGUACAGCAUGCCCGGGCCCGGUACGUGAGGCUCCUGGUGGAUGCUGAGUACACCUCGCUGAAUCCUGCUCUCUCUCUGCUGGUGGAUGCCCUGGCCAUGCGCUGGAACAGCCCUCAGGAAGGCGGGCCCUGGGUGUGGAACACUUACCAAGCCUAUCUGAAGGACACGCAUGAGCGGCUGAAGCGGGAUGCUGAGGCUGCAGACAGGGCUGGCCUGGCCUUUGGAGUGAAGCUGGUACGGGGGGCAUAUCUGGACAAGGAGAGAGAGGUGGCCCGUGUUCGAGGGACUGAAGAUCCCACUCAGCCUGACUAUGAGGCUACUAGCUGGAGUUACAGUCGCUGUCUGGAGCUGAUGCUGACCCAUGUGUCCCACAGUGGCACCAGGUGCCAUCUCAUGGUGGCUUCUCAUAAUGAGGAAUCUAUUCGCCAGGCAACUAAGCGCAUGUGGGAGCUGGGCAUUCCUCUGGAUGGGCCAGUCUGUUUUGGACAGCUUCUGGGGAUGUGUGACCACGUCUCCUUGGCACUGGUCCCAGCCAAUGCCUGGCCAGGCUCCCACCCAGAGCCUGCAGCUGGCGUAGCUGCAGUACCCUUCCGGAUGGAUCCGCUGUUCCCGGAUCUGAAGGCCCUGCAGGGCAGGCCGGCUAUGCCGUGUAUAAGUCCAUCCCCUACGGCUCCCUGGAGGAGGUGAUCCCCUACCUGAUCCGGAGGGCCCAGGAGAACCGGAGCGUGCUGCAGGGUUCCCGCAGGGAACAAGAGCUGCUCAGGCAAGAACUUCGGAGGAGGCUGCUGGGACGGGGCCUGAGGGCACCCCAUUAGCACCCGCAGGGGUCAUGUGGUCAAUAAAGAUCCUGAACCUCUGCUCUGGCUGCUGCCCUGCCCACACUGAAGCCACUCCCUUUGGGAAGGGCUAAUCUCAACCUCAGCCCGCCUAAAUUAGGGGCCUCUGCAGCUCAAGAGAGACCUUUAGAUGACCGCAGAGCAUAUAGCAAGGACAUUGAUCAAAGACUAACGAGGCCUCCCUUCAACUCUGAGGCAGUCUAUACCACAAUAGCCCUGGGGUCACCUCUACUCAGCCAGUCAGUGGCUGACUCGGGAACUUUACUUCAGUGGAUGCCCAGAUGAAGAGCAGACACUGAGGCACCGAGGACAAGAGGUGCGCUAAGGCCGCAAAUGGGGAGAGGGGCAAAAGGGGCACACAGUCUCUCAUUUAAUAAGAAUUGACAGAGGCCACCUUCUGAGAUAGGAGCCAAGCUGGGAACCCAGGGAAGCAGGGCAGGAGAUCCCGCCAGGCCCCUGGAGCAGGGUGCUGCUACAGUGAAGGGUGUCGGUGGAAAGGACAGUCAGGAGGCUGAGUGGACGGACGAUGGGGCUGGUAGGCUGGAUGGGAGGGGGACAUUUAGGAGAAGCCCAGGGCUCUGGCUGGAAGAGGACAGUGGGGCCAACCCUGAGAUGGGGAUCUGGGAGGAAAUAUGGUUUGGGGGAGAUACUGAAGUCAGUAUGGGAGCCUACGGGUAUAAAGGUCCCAGGGGACAUCCAGGGGGAGGUGUACAGGACACUGGGGGUGCCCAGGUCUGGGGCAAAGAGGAGACAAUGGGGUAGAAACAGUCCUUGGCAUUGGAAGAAAAGCAUGGGGAGAUAGCCAAGGACAGGGAUCAGGGUCUUGCCACCUCAAACAAGUCCUGGGAUUGAGGGUAAAAAAGGGGUGACAAGUAGGGCACAGUCGACAGCUCUGUGGCGGACUUCUGGGUCUCUCCUCUCCGGUCAUGUCAGGGACUGACUGACUCUCAAGAAGAGAGGCUACUGCAUAAGUGCAAAUCUGGCAGGACACCACUGAUGCGCAUGUGCCUAGGAUUCCUGCCCAGACCUGUGGGGCUAGUCACGCCUCGGGGUCACGUGGCAGCCACACAGUCCUCACUGUGCAAGCCCAGUGGUAGGUGCGAAACUUCCCAGACUGUUGUCUGGGACCGAGAACCUUCCUGGAGCUUACUGGGCCCAAAGCUGGCUCCCAGAACCCACCCUCAGACCUGCCCCUCCCUCAUAUUCCCUUCGCACCCCUCCUCCCCCUCAGCCCCCACCCUGUUAUCAGCCGCUCACUCAGUCCCACAGACCCUUGCCGCAGCCCACAGAUCCAGUGCCCGAAGCCUUUCAGUCUCCCUAGCCUAGCUCACAUACGCUCCCUGUUCCUUAGUCCGCACCCUGACCCUCAGACACGAUUACAGCCUGGAGACCCGAAGUCCUCCCUUUCCCUAGACCGCAGACCCUGCCCCCAGGCUGUCCUCCUCUCUUGGACCCCCUUGCACACCCUGGAACCCCCACCCCCUCUCAGGUCCUAACCCUGCAGCCCCUGUAACUCCAGCCCAUAGGUACUCUUCAGCCCCUCCUCCUGCAGACUCCGUUCCCGGGCCCAGAUCCUAUCCCUGUAGCCACAACACCCACUCCCACAGACAGAAUGCCCAGCCCUCAGAUCUCCUUAGAUUCCUGGUCUUACAGUAUGUCAAACUAUCAGAGUCCACCCUUUUGCUCAUUUACCCACUUUCCGACAAAUUAGACCCCUCUUGAAUCCGUCCUUUCUCAGACUGCACCUGGAACUUUCAGCCAGCUCUGUUUUUAUUGCCUCUAGAGGUCCCAUAUUUCAUUUUCUCCUGCCAUCAUGAGACCUCCUAGCUGAUCCCUGCCCAGAAGCUGCCUAAAUCCGGACCCACAGGUGCCCUCACUGUGCUCCCACUUCCUGCUGGAGCUGGAUUCUGUGGGGGGUUCAGAAGCCCAGGUGUGCCGUCUGCAUUGCCUUGCUGCAGCUGGGGGCCCACACGGAGGCCUCACCUGGCUCCUGCGGAGAGGUGAGAGUCUGGCGGCUGGAACUGCCUAUGAGGGCAAGAUCAGGGGCUAGUAUGGUGUGACUAUGAAGGUGUGACUUCACUUGGCCAGUCAACAGUUGUGUGCCAGGCACCUAGUGUGUGCCAGGCUCUGUUGUCUGUGAUGGGGAUUCAGGGGUGAACAUGACUGAGCCAUUGUGAAUGAAAUCUAUUAUGGGAAUUCGAGAGAGUGAUGAAGAGGAAGUAGGCCUACUGAAAACGAUGGCCUUUUGGAUGGGUUGAUAUUUGAGCCCCACAGGAUAAGAGCCAAUCAUGCAAAAACCUUUGGGAAGAGCACUUCAGAAAGAUGGAACAGCCAGUGCAGAGACCCUGAGGUCAAAAUAAACUGCGUAUGUGUAAGUAGCAAGGAGACUCAGGGAAAGGACCGAAGCUGAAGAGGCAGCAGGUGCAGACAAGAAAGGGACUCAAAAGGAGUGCGAGCUUGUUGGAUUUUGUUCUGUGUGUGAUGGGGAACUAUUGGAGGUGUAAGUAGAGAGUCAACAUCCAAUUUACAAUGUCCAUUUUUCAUUGAUUUUGGUAAGUUGAUUGUGUUUUUGGCCACUUUCUGAACUUAAUAUAAUUGUUGAUUCUUUACAUGUUUUGUUAUUUGCAUGUGGUGACAAUUGGGUCUCAGCCCUUUCAUCUUUAUACUCUAACUUCUUUUUCUUGUUGUAAGAUGUUGGCAGGAACUCUCAGCCUUGUUGAUGGACAUCUCUUUCCUUGCUGAUAUUAAGGGGAAUGAGUGUGUGUUUCUGCCUUAAGCAUCAUGUAUGCUUUUGUGUUUUGGUCUAUAAUUUUUAUCAAGUAAGGAAGUUCCCACUAAUUCUUAGUUUUCUGAGGUUUUCCUUUUUUCCCUAAUCAUAAGUGUUGAAUUUUAUCAGAUACUUUUUCUGUAUCUACUGAGUUAAAUGUGAUUUUUGUCCUUUGAUCCAUGAAUGCAUUUUACUACAGUGAUAGAUUUUCUUAUGUUGAAUCAUCUUUUCUUUCUGGGAAUAAGUCGACUGGGUUAUCCCUUUUGCUUCUUUAGAGGUUUUUGCAUAUAUGAUCAUAAAUGCAAUUGAUAAUUUCAUUUCUGAUUCUGGAAACUCUUAUCUGGUUUUGGAAUUAAGGUCAUACUAGCCUCAUAAAAUCAGCCUUACAAUUUUUUUCUGUUUUUGGAACAAUUUGUGUAAGAUUGUCUAUACAUGAAAUGAAAUGGUUAUGAUUAUAAUGAAUACCUAUAUCAUGCAAUGAUUUAAAUUGAAGAAGAUCCUCUGCAGGGAAAUACAAGUGCAGAAAACCAGGUAGGUUGCCCUUGCAAAAGAGAGUGGGUCACUGAGUAAAAGAGAAUGCAAUAAAUGUAUGUUCAGAGGUUCCUAAAGGACCACAUUUGGAAGGAUUUUGUGGCAGAGACCAAACUGGGUUGGACCAAGUGUGUGAUUAGCCCUGUGUGCCAAGGACAUAGGAGUGCAAAGACAAGACUCCAUGCGUUUGCCCUCCUUAGUGAUAUGGGCUGGGUUCUGGAGGAGGAGGACACUGGGGAUGCUGGGUGCAGAGAUGAGGGGUUGGGAAGCAGUAUCUGAGUAGGAGGACUGUGGGCAGGAGAUUGGGGUGGACAUGGAGGUGGAGGUGAAGAGGAAGUUGCUGCUUGGAUUCGGCUCCUAGUGCAGUGUUCAAAAAUGACUUGAGAAAUUUCCUGAUAAAAUCCCAAAUCUGCUUUUCUUGAAGAAUUGGAUGAUGGCCAGGUGGGACCUGUAUACAUACACUGAAUUAGAGCUGGGUGGAGGCUGCCUGCCUUGGACAGUGCAUGAGGCACUGUUCUCAUGAAAUCCACUUUCCCCUGGCCCCUGCGUGCCUUUCUGUGAUCCUGACACCUCUGGGAUGGGGGAUGGAUGUUGGCAUGGCAGGUAGAUGUCACUCCUUGUUCCAGCUAUGGAUUUACUGGUGAGCACUGCUUUGAGGCAGAUUUUGAGGCAGAGUUCCCAGAAGCUUGUUGUCAGGGGUGGUGUUCUAGGACAGAGAGAUAGAACCUGGAAUCAAGAAUCACUCAGUCAAGGAGGGAUUAUAGGUGCAGGGAAUUGGCAACGGUGUUGCCCGGAAGCCCCCAAGAACUCUGGGACAGCCCUAAGCCUUGCUGCCCUUCAGUUAUCCAGGUAGAUGGUGAGCACUCUGCUGGGCAGACAGGGCUCUUCCUCUUGGUGCUGUUGGGCCACAGCUCUGCUGCGAAGUUCCUGCUGGCCUCUGGUGCCAAUCCCAACCAGUGAGUGGACGGGUGGUGAAGCCCCCACAUUCCCAGGGCCCCGAGUCUGAGCCCCAGAGAACCUGAGAGCCAGGGCUCUCUUCGAAGGGGCCUUUCCGCUUCCUUCACCAGGGACCCCUCCCCUUGUCCUCUCAGUGAACCUUUUGUCCUCCAGUGACUAUUCCUGUUCUGCUGGGGCCUCCCAUGCUCACAGUGAUCCUCGCACCUCUCAAGGACCCCAUUGUGACCCCUCCCAUCCUGAGAUCCACCUCCCAUGUACCCAGUGACCCCUUUCAUCCCUUAAGCUCUCAUCCUGCCAUCUCUUGUCCCUGAAGUGUCCCCUUUGCCAUCCAUUCCUGUCAUUGUCCUGCUGGCGCCCAUGGCAGUGCACCUGUGCACGCAGGUACAUUUUUGGGCCAUGGCCUGUGGAUGUUGCAGCUGCCGCAGGCAGGGGUGACCUGCAUCUGCAUGACCAGCAGGAGCCCAUGCUUCAGGGCUCACGGAGCAGGGUGAUGCCAGGCAGAGCUGGGAGGUGCUGGAGCUGUUACAGCACUGUCGUGCCCACGCAUCAGCACUAGUGCAUGGCAGUGUUAGUGCCCACUGUGUCCCUGGGCCAGUUGCAGGCAAGCUGUGGACACAGCGUGGUUCCCUGUCCAUGCUCCAGCUGGCUCAGGUGGACAG